rnacentral:lncRNA from 1 species
GCCUAGGGGGAAAACAACCAGGGCAGCAGGAUGGGAAAUAGAGAGGAGGGUUGUAAUUUUAGAUCAGGUGGCUGGGAAAGGCUUUGUAGAAUUGGGGACAUGUGGUGAAGAGCGGCAUCCGCCGAAGGAGCCAAAUGUGUGGACAUCUGGAGAAGGGCCUUCCAGGUAGAGGGGACGGCCAAUGCAAAGGCCCUGAUGUAAGAGUGAGCAUGGCAUGUUUGGGGAACAGCAAAGAGGCCACUGUGGCUGCAGCAGAGUGAGUCAAGGGAGAGGACUGAAAAUGAAGCCAGAGAGGUGAUGGAUCUCACAAAAACCCCUCUACCAUACCACAAGCAAGCCCCAGACACCUUCCUUCCCACUGAGACUUGCAGCAAACUUGGGAGAAGACAAAGUGGGGUUUCAAGGACAAAGCAACCCAAUACAUCCUCUAGUCCAGUCCUCCUAUGCACAGCCCCAGGCUCCAGGCCAGGAUAUCAGAGGAAGACUUUGGCCACAGUGUAUGUGCCCCGGCCAUGUUCUCUGCAUCCUAGAAACCACUUAUUGGAGCCAGGGUGGUGAUGACCCCUUGCCACCACCUUCCAUCACCUUGCAGGGGUCCCCUGCCCCCUCUUCACCUUUAUAAACACUUGAGUAUGCCAUCUGUCCCUCACCAGGCUUCCCCCAAUAGACACUGUCUCUUCCAAAUCUGCAGGAAAAAAUAAAAUGAGUGGAUACAAUUUUCUCCCAUUUCAGGAUUUUCCCCUUUUUAAUUUUGUUUUAAACAUCCAGGUCCUCCUUGUCUCUCACUACUCAGAGA